ACAAUGAUGAUGUCACUGAUUCUACUGCUGGCCACCCUGGGGCUCCUUGUUCAGGAUUCAUCAGGAGAAAUCAUCCUGACUCAGUCUCCUGGAGCUCAGUCUGUUGUUCCAGGACAGACUGUCUCUCUCAGAUGUAAAGCCAGUUCACUUAUAGGUGAUGACAUUAACUGGUACCUUCAGAAACCUGGAGAAGCUCCAAAACUCCUCAUUUAUGAUACUACAGCUCGUCAGCCUGGAGUUUCAGAUCGUUUCAGUGCAACAGCCCAACAGACUGACUUCACUUUGACCAUCAGAGGAGUCCAGACUGAAGAUGCAGGAGUUUAUUACUGUCAGCAGCGUAACAGCUUCCCACUCACACAGUGAUACAACGUCAUACAAAAACCUCUCGCAGCUGGAGAGGAACUGAUCUGAUCAACAGCUGCACAGAAAAUUAAACAUAAGACAUGACAAAAAUAUUUCUCAUAAUUAUGUGUAAAUUAAUAACAUUUCAAACAUGACAGUACUGCAUUUAUGGACCAUGAUUUUGGGUGAAGAAUACAUUUAUAAACUUCUCUAACUUUUAGUCAACUGAUGUCAACUGUGUCAUUAGACAGUUCAUACAGAUGACAAUUCUUACUCUUUUUAAUAAAUUCAACACAAAACUCAGUGCAAAAGUAAAUCACUACAAAUGAAAUUGUACUAUAAAAC